UACGAAGGGGCUAGCGUUGCUCGGAAUUACUGGCGUAAGGUGCGUAGCGGUCUUAGUCAGAGUGAAUCCUGAGCUCACUCAGACUGCUUGAUACUGAGAUCUGAGUCGGAGAGUGAGUGACUGCGAGUGUAGAGUGAAUCGUAGAUAUUCGCAGACACAGUGCGAGCGCUCACUGUCAUAACUGACGCUGAGUGCGAAGCGUGGAG
rnacentral:rRNA from 1 species